GCCCUUAGAGUUUGAUCCUGGCUCAGAUUGAACGCUGGCGGCAUGCCUUACACAUGCAAGUCGAACGGUAACAGGUCUUCGGAUGCUGACGAGUGGCGAACGGGUGAGUAAUACAUCGGAACGUGCCCGAUCGUGGGGGAUAACGAGGCGAAAGCUUUGCUAAUACCGCAUACGAUCUACGGAUGAAAGCGGGGGAUCUUCGGACCUCGCGCGGACGGAGCGGCCGAUGGCAGAUUAGGUAGUUGGUGGGAUAAAAGCUUACCAAGCCGACGAUCUGUAGCUGGUCUGAGAGGAUGAUCAGCCACACUGGGACUGAGACACGGCCCAGACUCCUACGGGAGGCAGCAGUGGGGAAUUUUGGACAAUGGGCGAAAGCCUGAUCCAGCCAUGCCGCGUGCAGGAUGAAGGCCUUCGGGUUGUAAACUGCUUUUGUACGGAACGAAAAGCCUCUUUCUAAUAAAGAGGGGUCAUGACGGUACCGUAAGAAUAAGCACCGGCUAACUACGUGCCAGCAGCCGCGGUAAUACGUAGGGUGCAAGCGUUAAUCGGAAUUACUGGGCGUAAAGCGUGCGCAGGCGGUCUUGUAAGACA
rnacentral:rRNA from 1 species